CUUUACCUAUUCAGUGAAGAGAUGCCUUCUGGGCCCUCCCCGGAAACAUAACUAGCUGGUGGAUUUUCUUGUCUUCCAAUGCUUAGGUGGUGUCAUUGAUCAUACUAGCUAAAACCUGGAAUAAGUUUCUCAGCAUUGUAAGGAAGCUGCCAUUACCAUGUGCAGAAAUGAUAAGUCGAUUAUCUGUCUGGCAAUCUUCCCCAAAUGAAUGAGAGUAUCCUCAUUUUGGAGAGAACUCUGCAGUCAUUUGAGGGCUACAUGGUCUACUGGUCAUGUUUCCUUAAACACAUGGAGACCCCUAUGAUCAUUCCUAAGAUGAAAGUGUUUUGGGAAGGGAGGCCAGUUAAUUCCUGUUAUACACAAAAAUUAUACCACAAAGGUACACCUAAUGCCUAAAAAAAUGUUGUUUAGCAUUUUGAGGUCCUUUCAUAUGGCAUUUAAAUCUGAGAGUAUUGGGUUUACAGUACCUCCAGUAUGAUUUUCUAGUGGCCGGUAAGCCUUAUGUUUCCCAGUUCCGUUCAAAUUGGAAAAUUGUCCUUGUGUUUCGGGGACUGAAUACAGUUCUCUGAUUUGUCAUGUCUACUUCACCAGUUGGGGUGGUAUCUGCCCACCUUCGGGACUGAGUGAAAACUAUUGCUUGGGGAUGAAGGAGGCAUCUGAAGGUGUCGUCUGGUGUUUUGCACGGUGCAGGAACUGGGGCCACUCCUGUUUUUUCCAAUGGACUUCUCCAUAAGGUUAGAUAAGGUAGUCAAAUCAUGGCCAGAGCUGCCUGCUAUGGGAUGGCAGACUCAGUAGGUAGCUAAAUUUUAGAUUCCUGCAAGAGUUUGGGAGAGCUGCAUUAGGGCAAUGUCCUUCAUGAGGAAGGUUCAGAUGGAAGUUCUGAAAGAUAAAGAUCAUUAAUGUCCCUCUUUCCUCCUUACCUCCCUGGGACACAGGUAUUCCCUCCUAUGGUUCCAGGGUUGUUGUUCUCUUUCUGCUACGACAAAAUUGGUUUUUGUCGCCCCUGUGGGCAGUAAAGGUGAGGUCUUCGUUGUCAUGGGUGGGGUCUUGCUGGUUCAGUGCAGCCCUUACUGCUUGAAGGGGUAGUAUCAGUUCUCUUCAGGGGAUGCUUGGCUCACAGGGUCUUUUGCCU